UUCCAGACUCCUACGGGAGGCAGCAGUGAGGAAUAUUGGUCAAUGGGCGGAAGCCUGAACCAGCCAAGUCGCGUGAGGGAAGAAGGCCCUGCGGGUCGCAGACCUCUUUGGACGGGGAGCAAGGCCGCCGACGUGUCGGCGGAAGGAGAGUACCCGUAGAACAAGCAUCGGCUAACUCCGUGCCAGCAGCCGCGGUAAUACGGAGGAUGCGAGCGUUAUCCGGAUUUAUUGGGUUUAAAGGGUGCGUAGGCGGAAGGUUAAGUCAGCGGUCAAAUGUCGGUGCUCAACGCCGGCCUGCCGUUGAAACUGGUCUUCUUGAGUGAGCGAGAAGUAUGCGGAAUGCGUGGUGUAGCGGUGAAAUGCAUAGAUAUCACGCAGAACUCCGAUUGCGAAGGCAGCAUACCGGCGCUCAACUGACGCUGAGGCACGAAAGCGUGGGGAUCGAACAGGAUUAGAUACCCUAGUAAU
rnacentral:rRNA from 1 species